ACCUUCGUGGUGUAACGGUAGCACACUUGGCGUGUAUUCGAGGGGUUCAGGGUUCGAAUCCCGGCGAAGCCA
rnacentral:tRNA from 1 species